rnacentral:rRNA from 1 species
GAAUAAUGACUUCGGUUGUUAUUUAGUGGCGGAAGGGUUAGUAAUACAUAGAUAAUCUGUCCUCAACUUGGGAAUAACGGUUGGAAACGACCGCUAAUACCGAAUGUAGUAUGUUUAGGCAUCUAAAACAUAUUAAAGAAGGGGAUCUUCGGACCUUUCGGUUAAGGGAGAGUCUAUGGGAUAUCAGCUUGUUGGUGGGGUAAUGGCCUACCAAGGCUUUGACGUCUAGGCRGAUUGA